CCUACGGGUGGCAGCAGUGAGGAAUAUUGGUCAAUGGACGAGAGUCUGAACCAGCCAAGUCGCGUGAAGGAUGACUGCCCUAUGGGUUGUAAACUUCUUUUAUCAGGGAAUAAAACGAGGCACGUGUGCCUUUUUGCAUGUACCUUAUGAAUAAGGCUCGGCGAACUCCGUUCCAGCCGCCGCGGUAAUUCGGAGGGUCCCAGCGUUUUCCGGAUUUAUUGGGGUUAAAGGGGGCGUAGAGGGGUAGUUAAGUCAGGUGGGAAACUGUGGGGCUCCAACCCAGACGUGCCGUUGAAACUGGCAGUCUUGAGUGGACGAGAAGUAGGCGGAAUGCGUGGUGUAGCGGUGAAAUGCAUAGAUAUCACGCAGAACCCCGAUUGCGAAGGCAGCAUAC
rnacentral:rRNA from 1 species